rnacentral:rRNA from 1 species
GGAUAACUAUUGGAAACGAUAGCUAACUACCGCAUAAGAGUAGAUGUUGCAUGACAUUUGCUUAAAAGGUGCAAUUGCAUCACUACCAGAUGGACCUGCGUUGUAUUAGCUAGUUGGUGGGGUAACGGCUCACCAAGGCGACGAUACAUAGCCGACCUGAGAAGGUGAUCGGCCACACUGGGACUGAGACACGGCCCAGACUCCUACGGGAGGCAGCAGUACGGAAUCUUCGGCAAUGGACGGAAGUCUGACCGAGCAACGCCGCGUGAGUGAAGAAGGUUUUCGGAUCGUAAAGCUCUGUUGUAAGAGAAGAACGAGUGUGAGAGUGGAAAGUUCACACUGUGACGGUAUCUUACCAGAAAGGGACGGCUAACUACGUGCCAGCAGCCGCGGUAAUACGUAGGUCCCGAGCGUUGUCCGGAUUUAUUGGGCGUAAAGCGAGCGCAGGCGGUUAGAUAAGUCUGAAGUUAAAGGCUGUGGCUUAACCAUAGUACGCUUUGGAAACUGUUUAACUUGAGUGCAAGAGGGGAGAGUGGAAUUCCAUG